UUUUUUGUUUCUUUUUAUAAAUUGUUCAUUUCCAAUGAAACAAGCCCCAAAUCAGAAUUUUACUUGGAAAAUGUGUCUAGAGGAGUAAAAUAAAUGCCAUUUACCCACCACUCCAAAGUAUUAAUUAGACUUAGCUGUUUGCCAGUUAACUACCAGAGGAGCCCACAGUGAUUAGCUACACUAAUUGGAAUUUCAAGUGGCGCUGAUAACCACACAAAGAUAAUAGGAUUAUACCUUCCUUCCCUGAAAAAAGAAGUAGCUUUGUCAUAACUGUUUAGAUGAUGAUUUUAAGCAGUUUCACACCUAACUACCCCCAGAGAAAGGGAACAUUUUUAGAUUCUAUUUUUAUUCCGACAAAAAAAGAGAAACAAAAUUCUUCCAGGUGGCAAUGAAAGUAUAAAAGAAUGUCCCUCUUUGUCUUUGGAUCUCAACUUGCUCUCAGAGAAACUACCAACAGCACGUCAAACUGAGUCAGAAAGUCAGCUAGACCUGCCCCUCUCCACAGGAAUAUAUUUUUAGUUUUGGUUCGCAGAAACUCUUUCAGAAAUUUAUGAACACCCCCAUUCCCAGGAUUGCCAAAACAAUAAAUAUAACUUAUAUUUGGGAAGGCUGAGCAGAUACUAUUAUCUGCAUUUUAUACAUUGAGAAACUACCAUUUGAAGAGGUUGAGUCUUUCCCAUUAUUCUCUUCACCUGAUAACAUUCAGUGUUUUUAGAAAUGAAGCAUUUUCCAAGUCUGACAGAUCCCAGAGGUAUCGAGUGGCAGGGAGGGACUCCAAUAAAUUCUGUUCUCUAUCUCCUUCCUAAGAGCCAGGCUCUGGACCAACUUCCCUAGCCAAGUUUGUUUGUUGGGUUCAGAUACUUCUAUUUGAUCCUUAUCAAUAAAAAUCCCGAUCUGGCUGAGGAACUAAAAACCCUGCAAGUGGAUCAUGUUCACUGUCUUGUCACCUCUUCCAAUGUUCGGGCUGGCUGUUGCAGACUAUGACAUAACCAAUCAGAAAAAAAACUUGCACUAGACUAAAAAAAAAGAAAGAGGGUGGGGUUGGAAAUCUUCCUUCUCAAGUGUUAAAUAUUCAGAAGAGAUAAAUUAACAUAUAUUUAGUUUAAGCAAAAUGAAAAGUAAAUGCUAGUCACAAGGUAACUUGCACUUAUAGUCAAAGUUCUGGUAGCCAUGAGGUACAGAUUUUACCACUGGGCUGAUCAGGUUCUUUCAGCAACUUUAGAGGUCAUAAGGUAUGUUUUCCAAAGUAGAGGUAUGAAGCCAGAUUUACAUUACAAAUCUGUUUUGAAAAAAAAAAAAAGGAUAAAUUUAAUUGUACAGCUACUGGUUCUACCCACACCUGAAAGCAUGCCUUUUCUAGCACAUGCCUAGCUCACAUGAAGAAUCUCAGGAGGUUUAAAAGGCAUGUGGAGUUGCCAUGGAAACUUAAGAAAGCCUGAAAAGCCAACAUAUCCCUACCUAUCUCCACCAUAAGCCCAGGGCAUAAUUUUAGACAUUCUUUGAAUUGGAAUAUGACAUCUCCCAGAAAAUCUCUAUCUAAGUAUUACUAUUUAUGAGAGAAAGCAAUGAUUACUCAUGAUUAUGUUCCUGAAACUGAGUUUGGAAAAUUUGAGUCAGAAGAAAGGCCUUAGGGGAAUCAUAGAGAUACGUGUAUUAGUGUAAAGGAAGGUAGAAAAACUCAUGUAUGGAUCCUGAGGCCUUUUCUAGGGGAAACCAAGCAGAGCACAAGGCUUCCUAGGAAAAACAUAAGGACAACAUACUCCAGGGUCAGGAUUUCUCAAGGUGGAGAGAAGUUGACCAAUAGAUGAAGAGAAGUAAAUCAAAGGUAAACUUCCUUCACUUUGAAAUUUUCACUUGGGCUAACCAAGAACCAGGAGGGGAUUUCUGGUUCAUGUGAAUUUUAGGCUAACUAAGAAAUAAGUUCCUCACCAGAAUAUAAACUUUAAUGCAAGCAAAGUGUUUUAUUGAUUUUCCUACCCUAAUGCCAAAUACUGUGUGUCUGACUCUUAGGAAGUACUUAGUAAAUGUUGAAUGAAGAAAGGAAGGAAGGAAGGAAAGAAGGAAGAAAAUGGUUGGUUGCAAAUUUUUCUAAGUCUAAGAAAACUGAAUCUUUGGCAGUCGACAAAUUUUAAUAUCUGCAAUUAUGGCUAGUCAGUGCUAUAAUGGUCGCUUCAGAAGAUAUAGGAGAUCGAAUUAAAUGUGUACUUAUUGCCCUAAGGAGAUAACUUGGAAGAGAUUUUUGUGUUUCUGUAUUAAUAAAGAACAGGGGAGGGCAAUGAGGGAGUAGCUAUUGGGAGCUGGAGAGAAGGGGACCUGAGUUAUGUCCUGGCAGAAAAAUUAGUAAAACCGUUCACUUGAGAUAACUCAAAAAUUCGGCAUGAGCACUCAGGAGUGGAGAGCUGCUACAGAAAAACCUAAAUGUGUGGCAUCUGGACUUGUGGAGUGGCCAGAGACCUGACCAACCUCAAGAUGGCACUUCAUGGUAGUCAGAAGGGCAGCAAGAAAAUUGCUUUUGGAAGCUGGAGGAGCAAAACCUUAAGUUAUAUAUGAGCAGAUUAAUUAGCAAAACUGUCACCUACAGAAACACGGAAAAUAAAAAGGAUACCUAAUUAACUUGUGGAUCUAGCUAAGGCUUUAUGCAGAGUGUGGAAAGUAGCACCUGGCAUCUUGUAGUUGCUUGAGACGAGUCAUAGGAGGAGUAAGAUGAGCAAAUGAAUGAGCUGUUUGGUUUUCGUCAAAAUGUAAAGGAAAUAUAAAGGAUUUGAAGGUUCAGAAGUAAAACUAAUUCUCAUCCCCAGUGUAUUUUGGAAAAAUAUUCUCAAAAUAAGAAAUCGCCUCAGGAAAAAUAUCACAUCCAAGGCAGUACCAGUAAAACGGUGUCUCAAAAUAAAGAUCAAAUCAAGGGUGUUGUUUAUGAGAACUCAGAAAGAUUUAGGGCAGUGCCUCAUAAACUGUCAACUAGACAAAAGGGCUUCUAUUAAUCCUCUAAAAAUAUUAAAGGCAUUGUCCCACAGCAGUGUGAUUUACAGGCAAAAUUAUAGAAGGGUCCAUCUUGAAGAAUGUUAUAAGAAUGUGAAUAUCUAAUAAAGUGAACCCAUAAUAAGAUUUAUAAGCAACCUGCAAAGUCUUUAAGAGAAUUAUACUACAUUAAACAUUGCCAGAUUGGACCAAAAGAGAGAAACAUUUCAAAAUGAAAUGUGAAUUUCAAAAUGAAAAGAAAUCCCUGUGGUCUCAACCUUCUCUGAGCAGGAUGAAGACUGAAAAAAAAAAAUGGCUUAGCUACAAUCAUGGGCCAUAGAGAACCACCCCCAGA
rnacentral:lncRNA from 1 species